GAUGAACGCUAGCGGCAGGCUUAAUACAUGCAAGUCGAGGGGCAGCAGGGAUAGCAAUAUUCGCUGGCGACCGGCGCACGGGUGCGUAACACGUAUACAAUCUGCCUUUUACUGGGGGAUAGCCUUUCGAAAGAGAGAUUAAUACCCCAUAAUAGAUUGCUCGGCAUCGAGUGAUUUUGAAAGCUCCGGCGGUAAGAGAUGAGUAUGCGUCUGAUUAGCUAGUAGGUGAGGUAACGGCUCACCUAGGCCACGAUCAGUAGGGGAUCUGAGAGGACUAACCCCCACACGGAUACUGAGACACGGAUCCGACUCCUACGGGAGGCAGCAGUAAGGAAUAUUGGACAAUGCCCGCAAGGGUGAUCCAGCCAUGCCGCGUGCAGGAAGACGGUCCUAUGGAUUGUAAACUGCUUUUAUACAGGAAGAAACCCUCCCACGUGUGGGAGCUUGACGGUACUGUAGGAAUAAGGAUCGGCUAACUCCGUG
rnacentral:rRNA from 1 species